AUUGAACGCUGGCGGCAGGCCUAACACAUGCAAGUCGAACGAGUGGCGGACGGGUGAGUAAUGUCUGGGAAACUGCCCGAUGGAGGGGGAUAACUACUGGAAACGGUAGCUAAUACCGCAUACCAUCGGAUGUGCCCAGCUGGGAUUAGCUAGUAGGUGGGGUAACGGCGCACCUAGGCGACGCUCCCUAGCUGGUCUUAGAGGAUGACCAGCCACACUGGAACGUAGACACGGUCCAGACGCCUACGGGAGGCAGCAGUGGGGAAUAUUGCACAAUGGGCGCAAGCCUGAUGCAGCCAUGCCGCGUGUAUGAAGAAGGCCUUCGGGUUGUAAAGUACUUUCAGCGAGGAGGCGUUACCCGCAGAAGAAGCACCGGCUAACUCCGUGCCAGCCGCCGCGGUAAUUC
rnacentral:rRNA from 1 species